UAAAUAGUUAAUUUAUUUGUUUUUAAGAGUUUUAAAAACAAUUUUUGUUUCGAAUGUAAUAAUUUAAAAAUUUUUAAUAUUAAUGACAUCAAAUGAAUCAAAGAAAAGAAAGUAUACGUCUUGUUUUCUUAAACGUGCUUGGAGCACACAAUUUCCUUUUGUUCAGCCUAUAAAUGAUAAUGAAUUCAAAGCUAAUUGCACAAUAUGUGAAUGUUUCAAUAUCCACCACCAAGAACUAUUGGAUAUUACCAGACAUAUCAGCAUAAGUAGACAGUUAAAUAUGUUGCAUCCACUAAACAAAUCAAUUCCUUUUUUGCAAGUAACACAACUGAAGUUAAAUCUAUUAUAAAUGCAGAAUUUUUGUUUAUUGGUUUUAUUCUAGAACAUAAUUUGUCAUUUGAGUGCUCAUCACAUGCAGGUCUUCUUUUCAAAAAAAAUGUUUCCUGACAGUAAAAUAGCAGCAAAGUAUGGAUGUGCAGCAACAAAAACAAAGUUCAUCAUUAAUAAUGCCAUUGCCCUGUCAUUACAUUCUUGUAUUGUGGAUCUUCUCAAAGCUAAACCAUUUAGCCUUUCUGUUGAUAGAAACAGUGAUACAGGUACUGAAAGCAUGUACUCACUUGUUGUGAAGAUUUAUAACAUUAACAGAGGUGAAAUCAGUUCUCAGUUUUGGAAUAUGGCUCUUGCCAGUGAUUGUACAGCUGGAUUAAUUUUCCAAAAGGUGUAGGCUAUCUUUGAAAAAGAAAGUGUUACCUUGCAAAACUGCAUUGCCUUAAUUUUAGAUAAUGCCUCUGUGAACAUGGGAAAACACAAGGGAUAAUUCACACACCUCAUUAAAAAAAAUCAAAGAGUCAAUUUACAUAUUUGGAUGUCCCUGUCAUAUUUACAAUACCGCAAAAGCAGGAUCAGAUACAUUUACUAAAGCAACAUUUUAGCAACUUUUUAUUUGACAAUUUUUAUUGCUUUCACAACAGCACUAACAAUGUACAUUAAAAGAUUUUUGUGGCUUUUGUGAUCAGAAGUACAUAAUAAUUUCGAAGUAUGGGGCUACACAUGGCUAAAUAAAGAAGUGUGUAUCACUAAGAUGAUUGAAUUUGGAGCAAUUCGGUUCAUGCAGGCAGCUUAUCUAUAUGGAAAAGGUCAUUUUCUAUUGACUGACCCUGUUGUUGAACAUGCAGCUGUUAUCCAAAUUGAGAAUAGAAAGUCUGUUGAAUUUGAAUUAGUGUUAUACUUUAUAAACAGAUUUCCUACUUUGAAAACAUCAAUUUGAGAUAAUGUUGAGUGUGUUUGUGAUUAGUUUGUGGCAUCAACUGCUCCCAGGCAACACUUUCUUAAAAGAAAGAAUUGAUCAUGUAUUGCAUAAGCUGAAUUGUCUCAAAAAUGCAACUGGCCCACGAUUUAAUUUGUUGUUUCAGAUUGCUAAGUUUGUCAUGGUAUUACGGCAUAGGAAUGCAGCAAGUAAUUUUUGAGAUCAUAUAUGACUAAUUUGUUAAUUUUUUUAAUAGAUUUGUUAAUAGAAAGAAGAUUCAUGUCAUCGGCAAAGUGUUGGACUCUGUAAAAUUCAAUAGCCUAUGAUAAAUCAUUUAUAAAGAUUAUAAAUAGUAAUGGUUCUAGUCCCAGUCCUUGAGGUGCACUAACAUUAAUAUCACAAAUAUCAGCAUUUUUUUUUUUUUUUUUUUUUUUUUUU